GUAUUUACAUAUAUAUUUCCAUUUAUGGGUAUAUUAUUAGCAUU
rnacentral:sRNA from 1 species